rnacentral:rRNA from 1 species
AGCAGUAGCCGCGGUAAUACGUAGGGUGCAAGCGUUAAUCGGAAUUACUGGGCGUAAAGAGCUCGUAGGCGGUCUGUCGCGUCUGGUGUGAAAUCCCGAGGCUCAACCUCGGGCUUGCAUCGGGUACGGGCAGACUAGAGUGCGGUAGGGGAGACUGGAAUUCCUGGUGUAGCGGUGGAAUGCGCAGAUAUCAGGAGGAACACCGAUGGCGAAGGCAGGUCUCUGGGCAUUAACUGACGCUGAGGAGCGAAAGCAUGGGGAGCGAACAGGAUUAGAGACCCCGGUAGUCCCUGUCUCUUAUAA